rnacentral:rRNA from 1 species
AACGAACGCUGGCGGCAUGCCUAACACAUGCAAGUCGAACGAGAUCUUCGGGACUAGUGGCGCACGGGUGCGUAACGCGUGGGAAUCUGCCCUUUGGUUCGGAAUAACAGUUGGAAACGACUGCUAAUACCGGAUGAUGACGAAAGUCCAAAGAUUUAUCGCCAGAGGAUGAGCCCGCGUAGGAUUAGCUAGUUGGUGUGGUAAAGGCGCACCAAGGCGACGAUCCUUAGCUGGUCUGAGAGGAAGAUCAGCCACACUGGGACUGAGACACGGCCCAGACUCCUACGGGAGGCAGCAGUGGGGAAUAUUGGACAAUGGGCGAAAGCCUGAUCCAGCAAUGCCGCGUGAGUGAUGAAGGCCUUAGGGUUGUAAAGCUCUUUUACCCGGGAUGAUAAUGACAGUACCGGGAGAAUAAGCUCCGGCUAACUCCGUGCCAGCCGCCGCGGUAAGAC